GAGCGGCGGACGGGUUAGUAACGCGUGGGAAUAUGCCCUUUGGUACGGAAUAGCCUCUGGAAACGGAGAGUAAUACCGUAUGAGCCCUUCGGGGGAAAGAUUUAUCGCCAAAGGAUUAGCCCGCGUUAGAUUAGGUAGUUGGUGGGGUAAUGGCCUACCAAGCCUACGAUCUAUAGCUGGUUUUAGAGGAUGAUCAGCAACACUGGGACUGAGACACGGCCCAGACUCCUACGGGAGGCAGCAGUGGGGAAUCUUGGACAAUGGGGGCAACCCUGAUCCAGCCAUGCCGCGUGAGUGAUGAAGGCCUUAGGGUCGUAAAGCUCUUUCGCCUGUGAAGAUAAUGACGGUAGCAGGUAAAGAAACCCCGGCUAACUCCGUGCCAGCAGCCGCGGUAAUACGGAGGGGGUUAGCGUUGUUCGGAAUUACUGGGCGUAAAGCGCACGUAGGCGGAUCGGAAAGUUGGGGGUGAAAUCCCGGGGCUCAACCCCGGAACUGCCUCCAAAACUAUCGGUCUAGAGUUCGAGAGAGGUGAGUGGAAUUCCGAGUGUAGAGGUGAAAUUCGUAGAUAUUCGGAGGAA
rnacentral:rRNA from 1 species